AUUGAACGCUGGCGGCAUGCCUUACACAUGCAAGUCGAACGGCAGCACGGGAGCAAUCCUGGUGGCGAGUGGCGAACGGGUGAGUAAUGUAUCGGAACGUGCCCAGUCGUGGGGGAUAACGUAGCGAAAGCUACGCUAAUACCGCAUACGAUCUAUGGAUGAAAGCGGGGGAUCGCAAGACCUCGCGCGAUUGGAGCGGCCGAUAUCAGAUUAGGUAGUUGGUGGGGUAAAGGCUCACCAAGCCGAAGAUCUGUAGCUGUUCUGAGAGGACGACCAGCCACACUGGGACUGAGACACGGCCCAGCAUCCUACGGGAGGCAGCAGUGGGGAAUUUUGGACAAUGGGCGCAAGCCUGAUCCAACAAUGCCGCGUGCAGGAUGAAGGCCUUCGGGUUGUAAACUGCUUUUGUACGGAACGAAACGGCGAGCUCUAAUACAGUUUGCUAAUGACGGUACCGUAAGAAUAAGCACCGGCUAACUACGUGCCAGCCGCCGCCGUAA
rnacentral:rRNA from 1 species